ensembl:lncRNA
AAAAAAUCACACAGCUCACAAUGUGUGACAGUCACUGCCAUACACAGUGAUAGAGUGAAAGGAGGAGGGUUGAGAGAGAUAAAGGGCAUCCUCUCACAUCUAUCAGGGACUUAGACACUAUCCUGAGGGAAGUGAAGUGAUCAACAGCUUCUACACACCAUCUCUUACACUAGUGUCCCUCUGUUACCACAGCCUGGUUUGGACCAGGGAUAUUCCCUCUGGAGUACACCUAUAAUAGACACUGAACUUCAAAACCUCUGGACAACCCACUCUGGCUACCUCUACCUGGAACCCUCACCAGUGUGGAACUUGUCCUGCUCAUCCAGUGGAAAUACCCACUGUAGCUGGUCUACUAGGACUUUUUCAGGUCUACUCAUCUGAGGUUUCCUCACUAAAACAACCCUUGAGAUAUCCAGAAAGUACGACUGAAAAAAAAUCUUGUUUCUUUGAAUUGGACUGGACAUAUCAUCUAAUAUUAUGGGUCCAUGCAUACUGCAGUUAUGUGUUUCAAAGUGAAGCACAUAUCCCAAAAAGAGGAGAAAGUAAACAUUGCAAUGGGGCCUGCUGCUGUAAUGA